GGCGGGUCCGAGGGUAGUGAGCUACACCAAUUGUUCGCUCAUAGCUAUGGAUGGAACUCCUGUUUCCACUUCCCUGCUUCUCGCCAUUGCAUUUAACUAGUCUAAA
rnacentral:sRNA from 1 species